ensembl:snoRNA
CUGUAGAUUUUAAAAGUUCUUAGAUUGGUCUCCAACUGCAUGCCAGAGUAACUGGAGAGACUUUGACAGCCCAGGCCAGCACAGUGCCUGCAGCUGCCACUUGACUUUCCUAUACAU